UGUGAGUGUGUGUGUUUCAGUAAACAAUAUUACAAUUUCUUGACAUUUUCAUUGCUGUUUCUUGACAUAUUUAGUGAGGCUUUAAAGGGCUUUUUUUUCAGAGAGGAAAAAAAGAAAGAAGAGAAAAAUGGCUGUCUUCCAAAUCACCAUAUGUUUCCAAUUGCAAAUUCAAAAGCAGAAGACAGGCCUUAAUUCAAGCUGUGCAGCUUUUGUGGGGUUAUGGAACUAGGGAGGCAGGCGCUGUGCCACUGAGCUAAAUCCCCAGCCCCAAUAGUGGAUAUUUUGUGAAACCAGAAUUGAACUGAAAUCUGCUGGAUUCCAAAUCCUCCCAACCUUAAUAGCUUCAGUGGAUGCGCAGAUUUGACUAACAACUGCUGUCGGGUCAGUACGUGAGAUAUUUCAUCAGGAGCAGUAAUAUUUUUAAGCAAGGCAAAGAAAUUAGAAUGGGUCCUCUGAGGAAGCCUCAGCACACAGGCGGGGCUCCUGUGGAAACCCAUAGCAAAUCUACAGGACACUCGAGCUAUCGGCUGGGCCGCUCCUUCCCUCUGGACCUGAACUGGGUCUCACCAUCCUUCUCAUCACAGCCAAGCCCUUCAGAAAGCACAUGAACUGAAACCCGGUGCUUCUCUAUGGCUUUGUACUGAGCUCUAGCGUCAUGUUUUCCUCCUCUAGCCAAAUAUCACUGAUUCUCUAUUAUUUCUCCUCUCUCGAUCGCACUUGAAACUUUUCGUCGUUUAUUUGCCUAUGUUUAUCCUGAGACUUUGCAGUAAUAGCAUAAGGACCUUGAGGUACUCGUCUGUACCCAUAGCUUUCAGUACUCACUGGAGUAAAAACAUACCAGUAGCUUACUGAUUGACUUAACAUAUAUUGGACAAAUAAUUUAGCUGCUGUGUAUGGGAGAAGGAAGUAACAUUUUUUCAGCGAUAUUGCCAGGUAGAAUGCUAAGUGUGCGUACACUAUCUAGUUCAGUAUUCACCACAGAACUUGGAGGUAAGAGGCAGGAAUAUUGUCAUAUGCCUAUAAUUCUUCCUAAUGGAGAGGCUGAGGCUGGAGGGCAGUGAAUCGGGUACAGCCUGGGCAAUAUAGUGACCUUAGAAAAAG